GAGGUUGUGGUGUAACGGCAGCAUCCCUGACUUUUAAUCAGGUGGGCGUAGGUUCGAAUCCUGCCAGCCUCA
rnacentral:tRNA from 2 species